UGGGGAAUAUUGGACAAUGGGCGAAAGCCUGAUCCAGCCAUGCCGCGUGUGUGAAGAAGGUCUUCGGAUUGUAAAGCACUUUAAGUCGGGAGGAAGGGCAGUAAGCGAAUACCUUGCUGUUUUGACGUUACCGACAGAAUAAGCACCGGCUAACUCUGUGCCAGCAGCCGCGGUAAUACAGAGGGUGCAAGCGUUAAUCGGAAUUACUGGGCGUAAAGCGCGCGUAGGUGGUUCGUUAAGUUGAAUGUGAAAGCCCCGGGCUCAACCUGGGAACUGCAUCCAAAACGGGCGAGCUAGAGUAGGGCAGAGGGUGGUGGAAUUUCCUGUGUAGCGGUGAAAUGCGUAGAGAUAGGAAGGAACACCAGUGGCGAAGGCGAGCACCUGGGCUCAUACUGACACUGAGGUGCGAAAGCGUGGGGAGCAAACAGG
rnacentral:rRNA from 1 species